UCAAAUGACAACUAAAAAACAAAUAAAGUAAAUGGGAGAAAUUACUUAAAUUUAAAAGUAAAGUAAAUUAUUUAACAAGGCACUCCAAUAUACAGAGGAAGAGCGUCAGAUACGUAAACAAAUAUUAGCACAUUACUCAAAGGUAAUGCUGCUUGUAAAUCCUACCAAAGCUGUUACUGUACCAUAUACAAUUUGGAAUAUCAUGACAUCACGCGGCUUAUUGCUUAUUGCUUACAGCUGAUUAGGUCUAUUAAAUUAUGCUAUAUGGAGUCAAUGUCGUCACUAAAAUACUAGACCUGUCGGAUUCUGUAUCUGAUGUUUUUUUUCGCAUUUCAUACGAAUUACUAGUGCGAUGGAUGUU